UGACCUUGUAAUGUUACGUUAACUUGACCCAGAUGAGCCCAUUUUAGUGGGACGCCUCUUAAUAUAAGCCCACACCUCCGUUCAAAACCCUAGUCUGGUGCAUCGACGUCAUCUUGUUCCUCGUGGGCAGAUAUCUCUCUGACAGAUGAUGGGGAUUCAAUGGGCUUUUUCUCGACAGACAUGGCUGUCUGAGAGGGCCCACACCGAG
rnacentral:lncRNA from 1 species